GGGGACUUAGCUCAGUGGUAGAGUGCUUGCCUAGCAACCGCAAGGCCCUGGGUUCAGUCCCCA
rnacentral:tRNA from 1 species